rnacentral:rRNA from 1 species
AUUGAACGCUGGCGGCAGGCCUAACACAUGCAAGUCGAACGAGUGGCGGACGGGUGAGUAGUGUCUGGGAAACUGCCUGAUGGAGGGGGAUCACUAAUGGAAACGGUAGCUAAUACCGCAUAACCUCGGAUGUGCCCAGAUGGGAGUAGCUAGUAGGGGGGGUAACGGCUCACCUAGGCGACGAUCCCUAGCUGGUCUGAGAGGAGGAACAGCCACAUGGGAACUGAGACACGGUCCAGAAGCCUACGUGAGGCAGCAGUGGGGAAUAUUGAACAAUGGGCGCAAGCCUGAUGCAGCCAUGCCGCGUGUAUGAAGAAGGCUUUCGGGUUGUAAAGUACUGUCAGCGGGGAGGCGUUACCCGCAGAAGAAGCACCGGCUAACUCCGUGCCAGCAGCCGCGGUAAUAC